GAAAUUCAGCAUUAUCCCAGGGACAAUUCAUCUGCAGAGGGUACUGCUGCUUCUUUUCUUCAUGGAGAACCUGUCAUAGUCCAGCUCCUGUCCCUUCCCUGGUCCUUCCAAUUCUGUGAGAUCCUGUACGGCAAUAGACAGCCACACUGGAAACCAACAUCAGUGGCCAUCACUGCUUCAGGAAUGUGCCUGAGCAGAUGGAAGAGCAAGAGAUGAGGAGAAACAAUGUGUGUGUGCUGAUGAUGGCUGAGCAGUCAGCAGAGGGGGCAGGCAGCUAAAGGAGCUCUUGUGUCUGAAUAAAAGUCACAUGCAUCAUUAGCAUGUGUAUUUUCCCUGCUCCAGUGCUUCUUAGAGGGACCAACACGCUCUGACCCACACACCAGUGAAGAACAAGAAGUACAAUGUGGAGAUCCCCUACUUACCGCCUGAACAUGCCCAUGUUUAGUAGCUGGGUCAUCACUGAGCCAUCUAC